rnacentral:tRNA from 1 species
UAGGGGAUAGCUCAGUGGUACAGCACGUGCCUAGCAUGCACAAGGUCCGGGGUUCAAUCCCCAGUACUUAAA